CUCACGCGGCGGCAUCUGGCCCAACUCCCCCAGGGCAGGAAUGCAGCAAGGGUAAGCAAGCUCUGCCGGGUGCGUGAGGGGCC
rnacentral:SRP_RNA from 1 species